rnacentral:rRNA from 1 species
AUUUACGAGAGUUUGAUCCUGGCUCAGGAUUAACGCUAGCGGUAUGCAUAAUACAUGCAAGUCGAACGGAUGUAGCAAUACAUUAGUGGCAAACGGGUGAGUAAUAUGUAUUGAAUUUGCCCUUUAGAGGGAAAUAACUAGUCGAAAGAUUAGCUAAUAUUCCAUAGGUAAUAAGUUCGCAUGAAUUUAUUAUUAAAGUUGGGUUAAACCAACGCUUUAGGAUAACAGUGCAUCUUAUCAGAUAGUUGGUGAGGUAAUGGCUCACCAAGUCAAUGACGAGUAGCUAUACUGAGAGGUAGAAUAGCCACAGGGGAACUGAGACACGGUCCCCACUCCUACGGGAGGCAGCAGUAGGGAAUUUUUCACAAUGGGCGAAAGCCUGAUGGAGCAAUACCGCGUGGAUGAUGAAGGUCUUUGGAUUGUAAAAUCCUUUUAUUAGGGACGAACGAUUUUACUAGGAAAUGAGUAAAAAGUGACUGUACCUUUUUGAAUAAGUAACGGCAAACUUCGUGCCAGCAGCCGCGGUAAUACGAAGGUUACAAGCGUUAUCCGGAUUAACUGGGUGUAAAGGGAUGCGUAGGUGGAUUAGUAAGUCUGGCGUUAAAUAUUGCAGCUCAACUGUAAUAUGCGUUGGAAACUAUUAAUCUAGAGUGAGAUAGAGAGUUGUAGAACUCCAUGUGGAGCGGUGGAAUGCGUAGAUAUAUGGAAGAAUACCGGCAGCGAAGGCGACAACUUAGGUCUUUACUGACACUUAGGCUCGAAAGUGUGGGGAGCAAAUAGGAUUAGAUACCCUAGUAGUCCACACUGUAAACGAUGAUCAUUAGAGUUUUGUAUGAUAUACAAGACUUAUAGCUAACGCGUUAAAUGAUCCACCUGAGUAGUACAUUCGCAAGAAUGAAACUCAAACUGGAAUUGACGGGGACCUGCACAAAUGGUGGAGCAUGUUGUUUAAUUCGUCAACACACGUGAACCUUACCAGGAUUUGAUCCUAUGCAAAGCUUUAGAAAUAAAGUGGAGGUUAACAUAGAGACAGGUGGUGCAUGCUCGUCGUCAGCUCGUGUCGUGAGAUGUUGGGUUAAGUCCCGCAACGAGCGCAACCCCUUUCGUUAGUUAAUUUAUCUAGCGAUACUGCCUACGAAAGUAGGAGGAAGGUGGGGAUGAUGCCAGAUCAAUAUGCCCUUUAUGUCCUGGGCUACAAACGUGCUACAAUGGUUGGUACAAAGAGUCGCAAACUAGUAAUGGUAAGCUAAUCUCAAAAGCCAAUCUCAGUUCGGAUUGAGGAUUGCAAUUCAUCCUCAUGAAGUUGGAAUCAUUAGUAAUCACGAAUCAGACAUGUCGUGGUGAAUACGUUCUCAGGUCUUGUACACACCGCCCGUCGCACUAUGAGAGCCGUUAAUACUUAAAACCGUUUAGAUAACUUUAUUGAAUCGGACGUCUAUGGUAGGAACGGUGAUUGGAGUUAAGUCGUAACAAGGUACCCAUACGAGAACGUGUGGGUGGAACACCUCCUUU